UUGAAUAUAUAUAAAUUUUAUUACUGUUUGAUUUGAAUAUUGUUAAAAUCGGAACGGCGAAAAAUAGAUCCAGAAAAUAAAUUAAUGCAAGAAAAGAAAAGAUAAGGAAAGAACACACCGAUAUUUACGUGGUUCGGCCAACGGCCUACGUCCACGGGCGAAGACGGAGCAAAUAAUUUAUUAAUGUUGAAAAGGCGGAGUACAAGAAGCUCUCAAAAGAACAAAACUUAAUUAGAUCGGAAACGCCA
rnacentral:lncRNA from 1 species